UAUUGCGCAAUGGAGGAAACUCUGACGCAGUGACGCCGCGUAUAGGAAGAAGGUUUUCGGAUUGUAAACUAUUGUCGUGAGGGAAGAAAUUGACAGUACCUCAGGAGGAAGCUCCGGCUAACUAUGUGCCAGCAGCCGCGGUAAUACAUAGGGAGCAAGCGCUAUCCGGAUUUAUUGGGUGUAAAGGGUGCGUAGACGGGAAAUUAAGUUAGUUGUGAAAUCCCUCGGCUUAACUGAGGAACUGCAACUAAAACUGAUUUUCUUGAGUACUGGAGAGGAAAGUGGAAUUCCUAGUGUAGCGGUGAAAUGCGUAGAUAUAUGGAGGAACACCAGUGGCGAAGGCGACGAUCUGGGAAGAAACAGACGCUGAGUCCCGAAAGCGUGGGGAGCAAAUAGG
rnacentral:rRNA from 1 species